GAGAUCCAACGGAUGGCACACAAUCCCUAAUUCCCUACCUCUCUCUUCUCUCCCCUACCCCCGCAGCCGCCGGCUUCUCUUCCGCCCAGAUCCCUCCUCCCGUGCCUCCUUCCUCCCAUCUCGUUCUCCAAUCUUCGACUUCCCUGCCCAGUCGAGGAGCUCGGAGUCCGCAUCGUGUCAAGCACCACCGGCGCGACGUCCAGGCCGCCCCACACCGUCCGAGCGUUCCAUGUGCGGCUGGAUCUGGCGUCUAGCUGCCGGAUCCACCGCGGAUAGCAACAUCGCCUGCUACCUCCUCUCCGACUCCAACCACCACACCACCUCUACUCCAUCCAGCCGUCCCGUCCACUGCCAGAACCAGCAAUCUCGCUGUCGGAUUGGUGGCGGUGGUUCCUCAUGGUUCAGUCUCCUCCCGAUGACGCGUCGGGGGCUGGUUCCAGGCGGACAUCAGCCAGCCACGGUUAGCGCUCUCAUCUCACGCCCGUCUUCCCCAUCGAUGGCACGGGUCUCCUCAAGGAGGACAACACCGACACUGCUAGGUAUGGUGAACGCAACCAGGGCGACGGGCCACUUCUUCGUCUCUAGCUCCGCUGUGCAGGAUCAUUUGCUGCCUGUACCAGAGUGUGAAUGACAUCAUCGACUUCUACCUCCUCCAUCUCAAGGACAAAUCUCUUGCAACCCAUGGUGCUGCAUUUGAAGUGUUCAUUUGUAAUCUGGUAGUGAUUAUUAUCUGUGUAAUGUAUGAUGUUUUGGAUUUCUUUUGUAAAUGUUGGCAAUGUGGCUUUAGUGUUGUACCAGUGAUGGUUGUUGUAAUUGAAUGAAACAAUUUAAUAGAAAAUUGUGGGCUUGGCAAAAUUA